GGGGAAUAUUGCACAAUGGGGGAAACCCUGAUGCAGCAACGCCGCGUGAGCGAUGAAGGCCUUCGGGUCGUAAAGCUCUGUCCUAAGGGAAGAAAAAAUGACGGUACCUUAGGAGGAAGCCCCGGCUAACUACGUGCCAGCAGCCGCGGUAAUACGUAGGGGGCGAGCGUUAUCCGGAAUCACUGGGCGUAAAGGGUGCGUAGGCGGCCAAUAAAGUCUGGGGUGAAAGGCUACGGCUCAACCGUAGUAAGCCUUGGAAACUUAAUGGCUUGAGUGCAGGAGAGGAGAGUGGAAUUCCUAGUGUAGCGGUGAAAUGCGUAGAUAUUAGGAGGAACACCAGUGGCGAAGGCGACUCUCUGGACUGUAACUGACGCUGAGGCACGAAAGCGUGGGGAGCGAAC
rnacentral:rRNA from 1 species